GUUCAACCAACCUAAGCGAUGGCAAUACUUUUUGUGCACAAAAACAAAAUGAAAAUAAUGACUUCAUUCAACUUUAUUCUCUUCCCUGUCAUUAUCCUUACGCAGUUUACGCGGUGAAGGCUUCGUGUUUACGUUCGAACGUUCGAACGUGUUUACGUUCGGCUCAGUAUUGGCCAAAGUUGAUCAUGUGAGCAGCACGAUGCAUGCGUGUGAUGCUGACGCAGGAGCCGGCCAAUAAUGAGCCCUCGUUCAGACGUAGAACCUGGAAGCGCUGGAUGUAAACAACGAAUGAGAAUGACACAGAAGAGAAGAUAUUGUUGAAUAAAGUAGUUAUUUUUGUUUUGUUUUUGCACACAAAAAGUAUUCUCAUCACUUCAUAAAAUUAAGGUUGAACCACUGAAGUCACAACGACUGUUUAAUGAUGUCUUUAGUACCUUUCUGGACCUUGAAAGUGUCCGUUAUAUUGCUGUCUAUGGAGGAGUACCUCUCGGAUUUCAUCAAAAAUAUCUUAAUUUGUGUUCCGAAGAUGAACGAAGGUCUUACGGGUGUGGAACGACAUGAGGGUGAGUAAUAAAUGACAUAAUUUUCAUUUUUGGGUGAACUAACCAUUUAAGUUGGCUAGAAUCUGCAAUCAGUUUGUUUGCUGGCUUCCAUGGCUGCAAUAUGCUGUGUUUUCUGCCAACUGGCAACCCAGAGUAAAUUGGCAGUGGGCGGGAUCACACAGACCACAACAACAGACGUUCCGACACGGAACGCACAUUUCAAAGUAAGAAUAACUGGCUGUUGCAUUGUUUUUCUGAGAAACAAGUACUUAGCAUGUUUACUAAAUAUCUGCGAACAUAUUUUUUGCUUUAGUAGGCUACAGUCAAAAAAAAUUACGUUUGUUCAAAACUUUGCCAGAACGUUAGCCAAAGUUCUGAGAAUGUUCUCAGAAUGUUAACUGAUCAUCUUGCCUUCUCUAAAGCUCACUUCUAGUUUGCAUCCAGAUUUUAAAAUGUUGCAGUGCAGUUUUUGACUACACGUCCUGGAAGGCAGUGCCUUUUUGGCAUCAGUUAUGUUGACGCUUCACACGGAAGAAAGCAAAAAAAGUUCUAUUGUAAUGGUGGCCAUUCUUGGUAAAAACAGAAACGAAAAGAACUUUAUGUAAAGGGCACCUCAUAAAAAGUAGUUUAUGGUUGCUUGUAAUAAAUUUAUUGGACGUGAUGUUUGUAUGUGUAUGUGGUAGACGCUCUCGAACUGAGUUUUGUCGAGCCAGAUCGAACAGUAAAAUUAAUUCUGCAUUGUGUCAGAGCUCUGGAAGAAACAGGGAUCUGGCGCGUUUCUCUCCAAAGCUCAGAUGGUGUGUCCUUUUUCCCAUAACGGUCUCCAACGGCAAGCGGACUUCCAGGGUAAAACUGGAGCCAGGCAAACCUGCCAACAUCCUUCGCCCAGAGAGUGAUAUUUUGUUGGGAAAGUUUCCUGCUACUUGAGCCUUGAGGACUGUCAUGGCUGGAGGGUCUUUUUUCGGAAAAGUCGUUUACCACAUGGAGACACGACUCCGGGGUUCCCAGUGACCGACUGGCAGAAACUGGCAUGGUGCCUUUUCUUACUUCCACACCACUGAAAGCACCCCGAAAACUCCCACAAUCCUCCUCUUUUCUUUUGUGUCUUUAGGGAUCAAGUCUGUAUCCUCAAAGGCUUAUUGAGAAAUUCUGACACUUCCACCUGCAAGCUGUAAAGCUCAAUAUUUCCACUUUGUGUGUGUGUGUGUGUGUGUGUGUGUGUGUGUGGUUAGUACGUUUAGAAGUUCAAACUCUUCCUGAUUUUGAAAGAGAAGGUGAAAGUGUGAAGGUAAAAGUAAAUUUUGCAAACUUAUAAAGUCUAAAAGUUGUUCUGCAAAAUAAAAUUAUUGCUGUUAAAAAGUACAAUAA